rnacentral:rRNA from 1 species
UACGAAGGGGGCUAGCGUUGUUCGGAAUUACUGGGCGUAAAGCGCACGUAGGCGGAUUAGUAAGUCAGGGGUGAAAUCGCGGGGCUCAACCUCGGAACUGCCUUUGAUACUGCUGAUCUCGAGUUCAGAAGAGGUGAGUGGAAUUUCUAGUGUAGAGGUUAAAUUCGUAGAUGUUAGGAAGAACACUGGUGGCGAAGGCGGCUCACUGGUCCGGUACUGACGCUGAGGUGCGAAAGCGUGGGGAGCAAACAGG